GCCGUCGUUGGCCAGUGGCAGGCCGCUCCCGCUUCCUUGCAAUAGAUAUGAGAAAGUCAUGGGAGUGCGGGGGUUCGAAUCCUCCCGGCGGUA